UUUGAUUUAAUUAAAAUAAUGAAAAAUACUAAUUUUGUUUUAAAGUUCUCAUGAAAUUCACAUAAAAAUUGUCUCGAGAGGUUAAUAUAUAACCUAUUUUGAGGUAAAUAUCACGUGAAUUGUUGCCUCUGUUUGAAGACAAACUGACAAGAUCAUGGCAAAAACCGAAUAACAACAAUAAUAUCAACAAAGGUCUUUAACAACAAUAACAACAAUAAUAUCAACAAAGGUCUUUAACAACAAUAACAACAAUAAUAUCAACAAAGGUCUUUAAAACACGGUAGUUAUGAAUAUUGAGCAACCAUCUCGAACCCUUAACCAAAAACUAGGGUGGUUUAAGGUAAUCCGGAGGGUUAAGCAUUCGAAAAUAAUUAAGUUUUUCAUUCAGAUCUAAAAGAUAAAUUAAUCUGCCAAAGCGUAUUACAUCUUUAAAUUGUGGUGAGUGACGUUCGUUGAUUAAGUUGGGAAAACACCAGAUAAAAACCAAUAUGUCUGAUAUUACAGUUCAUAAUCAUGUUAUAAGAUCAGAGUAUCAUUUAUGACUUGACAUAUAUAAUAUCCUACAUCUUCGGUUACUUAUUACAGUUUCUUUUUGAGGUUCAGAACAGUUAUUUAAAGAUGAAAUAUUAU
rnacentral:lncRNA from 1 species